UGGUAUUGAUUGGUGCUUGCAUCAUGAUUUACAUUUGAGUGAGUGGCGAACUGGUGAGUAACACGUGGGAAACCUGCCCAGAAGCGGGGGAUAACACCUGGAAACAGAUGCUAAUACCGCAUAACAACUUGGACCGCAUGGUCCGAGUUUGAAAGAUGGCUUCGGCUAUCACUUUUGGAUGGUCCCGCGGCGUAUUAGCUAGAUGGUGGGGUAACGGCUCACCAUGGCAAUGAUACGUAGCCGACCUGAGAGGGUAAUCGGCCACAUUGGGACUGAGACACGGCCCAAACUCCUACGGGAGGCAGCAGUAGGGAAUCUUCCACAAUGGACGAAAGUCUGAUGGAGCAACGCCGCGUGAGUGAAGAAGGGUUUCGGCUCGUAAAACUCUGUUGUUAAAGAAGAACAUAUCUGAGAGUAACUGUUCAGGUAUUGACGGUAUUUAACCAGAAAGCCACGGCUAACUACGUGCCAGCAGCCGCGGUAAUACGUAGGUGGCAAGCGUUGUCCGGAUUUAUUGGGCGUAAAGCGAGCGCAGGCGGUUUUUUAAGUCUGAUGUGAAAGCCUUCGGCUCAACCGAAGAAGUGCAUCGGAAACUGGGAAACUUGAGUGCAGAAGAGGACAGUGGAACUCCAUGUGUAGCGGUGAAAUGCGUAGAUAUAUGGAAGAACACCAGUGGCGAAGGCGGCUGUCUGGUCUGUAACUGACGCUGAGGCUCGAAAGUAUGGGUAGCAAACAGGAUUAGAUACCCUGGUAGUCCAUACCGUAAACGAUGAAUGCUAAGUGUUGGAGGGUUUCCGCCCUUCAGUGCUGCAGCUAACGCAUUAAGCAUUCCGCCUGGGGAGUACGGCCGCAAGGCUGAAACUCAAAGGAAUUGACGGGGGCCCGCACAAGCGGUGGAGCAUGUGGUUUAAUUCGAAGCUACGCGAAGAACCUUACCAGGUCUUGACAUACUAUGCAAAUCUAAGAGAUUAGACGUUCCCUUCGGGGACAUGGAUACAGGUGGUGCAUGGUUGUCGUCAGCUCGUGUCGUGAGAUGUUGGGUUAAGUCCCGCAACGAGCGCAACCCUUAUUAUCAGUUGCCAGCAUUAAGUUGGGCACUCUGGUGAGACUGCCGGUGACAAACCGGAGGAAGGUGGGGAUGACGUCAAAUCAUCAUGCCCCUUAUGACCUGGGCUACACACGUGCUACAAUGGAUGGUACAACGAGUUGCGAACUCGCGAGAGUAAGCUAAUCUCUUAAAGCCAUUCUCAGUUCGGAUUGUAGGCUGCAACUCGCCUACAUGAAGUCGGAAUCGCUAGUAAUCGCGGAUCAGCAUGCCGCGGUGAAUACGUUCCCGGGCCUUGUACACACCGCCCGUCACACCAUGAGAGUUUGUAACACCCAAAGUCGGUGGGGUAACCUUUUAGGAACCAGCCGCCUAAGGUGGGA
rnacentral:rRNA from 1 species